rnacentral:rRNA from 1 species
AAGAAAAUAGGUUAUAAGCGAAUGGUGGAUGCCUAGGGAUAUUAAAGUGAUGAAGGACGUGGCGUGCCUGCGAUAAGCAUCGGGGAGCUGGCUAGCAAGCUUUGAUCCGGUGAUGUCCGAAUGAGGAAACUCAAUUUCGGUAAUGCGAAAUUAUCUUUACAGAAAUGUAAAGAAGCUAACCCGCUGAAGUGAAACAUCUCAGUAAGCGGAGGAAAAGAAAACAAUGUGCCACACCUCAGUGCGCUGAGGAUGGAAUACUCAAUUGUCAAUAAUCAAUUUUCAAUCAAUGCUAAAAUUACUAAAUUCUUAAAUUUGUGGAUGAAAAAAGCCGGACGACGAGCGUACGGCUUUGGGCGAAUCACGACAUCUAAAGGAUCUUGACGUCCUUUGCCGCCUCAAGCAGGUGUUUGGGCGGAUACCACCCUGUGACAUCGGGGAUUUCUUCGGGCUUGCAGUCCAAGAGAACUGCAAUGGCCCCGACCUUCUCGCGAGGAGUAUUUUCCGAAAUUCCCAACGCGAGAAUGAUCGCAUGCUCUUUUGCGGUCAUGGCAUCUCCUUGAAAGAACGUUCUUUAUCGCGAAAUUACGAUAAAGGUAAGCAAAACGACUUACAACUUAAUGAUAGCAUACUUAAAUAGUGGUGUCAAUAGGUAAUUGAAAAUUAAAGAAUUUAGAAAUUGAUUGAAAAUUUAAAAUUGAAAAUUGAAAAUUCCACCCGAGCGUAGCGAGGUGUGGCACACAUUCCCCCAGUAGUGGCGAGCGAAAAGGGAACAGCCCAAACCAAUUUGCAUCACAUUGCAUGUGAUGCUGAAUUAAGAAUUACGAAUUAUGAAUUAUGAAACGACGAUCGUUUUCUAUGAUUCUUUAUUCAAGAUUCAUAAUUCUGCAUCAUGCGUAACGUGAUGCACGUUGGGGUUGAAAGGUUGUAGCGUCAAGAGCAUAUUCUUUGUGCGUAGCACAAGUAAAUUCUAAACCCUAAACUCUAAAUUCUAAACGUCAAAAAUCGUUUUAGGAUUUAGGAUUUAGAAAUUAGGAUUUCCUCGCGCUACGCGCGAGGCAUAUGUUUAUUGAGAGAGAACAGUAAGUUAUUAAAAGAAGCACCCUGGAAAGGGGCGCCAUAGAGGGUAAUAGCCCCGUACUCUAAAAUAAUUUUACGCUCUUUGCUAUGAUUCUUGAGUACUGUCGGGCAUGAUAACCUGGCAGGAAGCAGGCCGAACUAUCGGCCAAGGCUAAAUAUUUAAUAUCACCGAUAGUGAACCAGUACCGUGAGGGAAAGGUGAAAAGUAGGGGGUUAACCCCGGUGAAAUAGAACCUGAAACCAUUUGCUUACAAAGAGUAGGAGCCGGCCAUAUCACACUGGGUGUGAUAUGGAAAUCCUAAAUCCAAAAUCCUAAAUUCUAAACAAUUGCUAAAUUACCAAAAUUUGAAAUGAAAGGAAAACGUCAUGGCCGAGAAGAAACCUGUUCUGAAUUUCGGUGUGUGGAACUAUGGAAAAGAAGUUCUCUUCGACUGCCAUAAGUGCGGAAAAGUUCUAAUUCGAGGCCAGCACGGAAUUACUCUUCGCGUGAGACUUCCUGGUGCCGAACCAGAAUACAAGAACUUCUGUGGGAAAGAAGUUGAUUGUGAGUGUGGAGCCAAAGUCUCAGUGUUGGUUCUUUUCGCUACUCACGAUGAAGCCAUGGAGUAUGCGCUUGAGCAACGCAAUGAAAUGAUGCUCAGGCACAACGUUGACAUGAAUUAAUCAAAAUGUUAUCGCGAACCAUGGUUCGCGAUAACACCUUUAUUUUGAAUUUUGGAAUUUAUAAUUUAGUAUUUGUUUAGGAUUUAGAGUUUAGAAUUUAGAAUUUUCCAUAUCGCGUACAGCGCGAUAUGGCUGGUGACUGCGUGCUUUUUGCAGAACGAGCCAACGAGUUUGACUACACAGCUUGUCUAAGCCCCUCCGGGGUGUAGGCGUAGCGAAAGCGAGUUUUAAAAGAGCGUUUGCUGUGUGUUCAAGACCCGAAGCGUGACGAGCUUACCAUGAGCAGGAUGAAGGAUGCAGAAAUGCGUCUGGAGGUCCGAACCCGUGAGUCGUGCAAUCCUCUGGGAUGACUUGUGGUAAGGAGUGAAAAGCUAAUCG